AGCGCAUGCAGGUGGUUCGUUAAGUCAGAUGUGAAAGCCCAGGGCUCCCCUUUUGGAACUGCAUUUGAUACUGGCAAACUAGAGUAUGGUAGGAGGAAUGGGGAAUUUCUGGUGUAGCGGUGAAAUGCGUAGAGAUCAGAAGGAACACCAAUGGCGAAGGCAACAUUCUGGACCAAUACUGACACUGAGGGACGAAAGCGUGGGGAUCAAACAGGAUUAGAUACCCUGGUAGUCCACGCUGUAAACGAUGAGUACUAGCUGUUGGAUUCGGUGUAAAGGAUCUAGUGGCGUAGCUAACGCGUUAAGUACUCCGCCUGGGGACUACGGCCGCAAGGCUAAAACUCAAAGGAAUUGACGGGGACCCGCACAAGCGGUGGAGCAUGUGGUUUAAUUCGAUGCAACGCGAAGAACCUUACCUGGUCUUGACAUCCUGCGAACUUUCUAGAGAUAGAUUGGUGCCUUCGGGAACGCAGUGACAGGUGCUGCACGGCUGUCGUCAGCUCGUGUUGUGAAAUGUUGGGUUAAGUCCCGCAACGAGCGCAACCCCUAUUGAUAGUUACCAUCAUUAAGUUGGGUACUCUAUUGAGACUGCCGCUGACAAGGCGGAGGAAGGUGGGGACGACGUCAAGUCAUCAUGGCCCUUACGACCAGGGCUACACACGUGCUACAAUGGGUAUUACAGAGGGCAGCGAAGUAGCGAUAUGGAGCGAAACUCAGAAAGGUACUCUUAGUCCGGAUUGCAGUCUGCAACUCGACUGCAUGAAGUCGGAAUCCCUACUAAUCGCAGGGGAGAAUACUGCGGUGAAUACGUUCCCGGG
rnacentral:rRNA from 1 species